rnacentral:pre_miRNA from 1 species
CUUGUACUCCCUCCGUCCGAAAAUACUUGUCAUUGAAAUGGACGUAUCUAGAUGUAUUUUAGUUCUAGACACAUCCAUUUUGAUGAUAAGUAAUUCUGGACGGAGGGAGUACUUG